CCACGAUUCCCAUUUUGACUCCAAAAUUGAUCUGUCUCCGUUUGUUGUGAUAUUGGUAUCUAAACGACUGUAAUAACGUUGUGAUUCUAUUUUUGAUAGCGGGGCAGCGUUUUGAGGACGUUCGGAAAGGGAAAGCUCCGGAGAAGUGAUUUUGGAGCGCGUGUGAUCGGCCUACAGGUAGGCUACGGUUUUUCCUCUCUUAGAUUGAGCUCGAGAAUGUGAAUGCAUGUUGAUUAGUUGGGAUUUUGGUUGGGUAGUUAUUGAAUCCUGCAUAGGUGUUAAGAAAUCAUGUUUUCGGCCUAUUUCGAGAAUUAUCGGGUAACUGUGAGCAUGCUUUAUGUUAUUAAUGGACCAUCCUUGCUAUGUGGAGUACUUGCAUGCUUAAUUAUUGUUUAUUUGAAGCAUGUUGGGCCUUAGUUUAGGUUUGACUAGGGCUUGCCUUAGAAAUACAUGAUUCGAAUCCAAUAGGCCUUAGUUUUGCCCCAACGUCGCUCGGCCGGCUUAGAUCCCUGUAGACUGGUGUAGCAGACUUGAGUCUGAUAGUUUGGGCCUUAGUUAGGCGAUACGCUUGCUCCGAAUUUAGUUCUUAUUUUCCUCUAUGUUACGGCUUCACGAGUUACGUCGGCAACACUAAUUCUACUUCGCGAUUUGAAUUUGAUUUUCGAUUUGGUUCCAAGGACUUACAUUGAUUGGCUAAGUAUGGACGGCGUUCCACGGACAUUUCUGAGUAUGGAUCGAUUGGGACUCUUUCAACAGCUACAUUGGCACCUUUAUAGAGCAUCCGGUUAGAGUUCCGGCCUCUUAUACUUGUUACCUGUGAUUGGUUACUUGGGUACUUCUGGUGAGCAUCCGGUUUGAGGUCCGGCCUCCGUACUAUCAGAUUUUACUAAUUAGGGUUGAGGUUCUAAUCCGUGUUCUUCGUUCUUGGGUUCGUAUAUGCAAUUCUCUUUAGUUAUAGUUAGUGUGUGUACUCGUGGAGCUUAUGGGGGUCCGUUCGAAAUUGCAGAUUUUCUGCAAUAAAUGCAGAAAAACAGCAACAUAUUUUCCAAAAUUUCAAACCCUCAUAACUCUUUCAUCUCUCAACCGAUUUGGGCGAUCCAACAGGAAAAGUUGUGAGAUUUUUUGAGGACAACGCGUUGGUGAGCUCGGAUAGUGAUUUGGGGUCUCCGUUUGAGGUAAAUUUUGCAAUUAACCUGACUGCAGAACCCUUUUUCGAGCUGUGGUUUUUGGCAUUAUUGUUUUGAUCAUAUCUCACUCAUUUUAGCUCGGAAUUGGGUGAUUCGAAGUUCCAUGUGUUGAAAAUUAUCGUGUCUUCGUCGUAGAGUGCUUAAGGAGUGUUGGGAACUUUUUGAUUCUCGUUAAUUUCAAGUUUAGGCUGCUGCAAUGUUUUCUUUUAAGUUGAUAUAAGUGUGGUUUUCUUGCUUGUUGGGUGUUGAUGCGUUUUGAUCCCCAAAUUGUGUUUCAUUUUGGACCACAAGUUUGGAGUGCUGUUUAGGGUGUCUUGACGGAGUCAAAUUCGGACAGUUCGGUGCGUGUCCCACGAUUCCGUUUUGACUCCAAAAUUGAUUUGUCUCCGUUUGUUGUGAUUUUGGUGUCUAAACGACUGUAAUAACGUUGCGAUACUAUUUUUGAUAGCGGGGCAGCGUUUUGAGGACGUUCGGAAAGGGAAAGCUCCGGAGAAGUUAUUUUGGAGCUCGUGUGAUUGGCCUACAGGUAGGCUACGGUUUUCCCUCUCUUAGAUUGAGCUCGAGAAUGUGAAUGCAUGUUGAUUAGUUGGGAUUUGGGUUGGGUAGUUAUUGAAUCAUGCAUAGGUGAUUAGAAAUCAUGUUUUCGGCCUAUUUCGAGAAUUAUCGGGUAACUGUGAGCAUGCUUUGUGUUAUUAACGGACCCUCCUCGCUAUGUGGAGUGCUUGCAUGCUUAAUUAUUUUUUAUUCGAAGAAUGUUGGACCUUAGUUUAGGUUUGACUAGGGUUUGCCUCAGAAAUACAUUAUUCGGUUCCAAUAGGCCUUAGUUUUGCUUCGACGUCGCCCGUCCGGCUUAGAUCCCUGUGGACUGGUGUAGCAGACUUGAGUCUGAUAGUUUGGGCCUUAGUUAGGCGAUACUCUUUCUCCGAUUAUAGUUAUCCUUAUUUUCCCCGAUGUUACGGCUUCACGAGUUACAUCAGCAACACUAGUUCUACUUCGCGAUUUGAAUUUGGUUCCAAGGACUUUCAUUGAUUGGCUAUGUGUGGACGGCGUUUCACGGACAUUUAUGUGUAUGGAUCGAUUGGGACUCUUUCAACAGCUACGUUGGCACCUUUAUAGAGCAUCCGGUUAGAGUUCCGGCCUCUAUCCCCCAGAUACUUAUAUAGAGCAUCCGGUUAGAGUUCUGGCCUCUUAUACUUGUUACUUGUGAUUGGUUACUUGGGUACUUCUGGUGAGCAUCCGGUUCGAAGUCCGGCCUCCGUACUGUCAGAUUUUACUAAUUAGGGUUGAGGUUCUGAUUCGUGUUCUUCGUUCUUGGGUUCUUUUAUGCAAUUCUCUUUAGUUAUAGUUAUUAUGUGUACUCGUCGGGCUUAUGGGGGUCCGUUCGGGUUUUUAUUUAACUUGCGCACGAGUGUACCUUCUGGGCUUAUGGGGGUCCAGUUAGGUGUAGUUAGCUUAUAGAUUACUUUAGUUAGUUCUUUGUACACUCGUGUGCAUUCCCUUGUUAGUUAGAUUUUAGUUCUUGACUUCGGUUUGUGUUAUUCCUUCUUUUCAUAUUGCCUUUACUUUUCAAGUUCAGUCGGCCUAUGAUGCCUACUGGGUACCUGUUGUUUUGGUACUCAUGCUACGCUCUGCAUCUAUUUCGUGAUGCAGGUCCGGGCACUAGUAGCCAGCGUUGAUCGAGCUUGGAGCAGACUGAUCCGGAGACGGGAGUGAGCACACUACGUUUUGUACUAUUUCAGUCUCCAUCUGUAUAUAUAGACUUGUCUUUUACCUUUCGAGACAGUCCAGUCUCUGUUGUCCACUUUUGGGACUUGUACUCAUUUUGUUAGUAGCUCUGUACUAGUGACUUCCAGGUUCU
rnacentral:lncRNA from 1 species